rnacentral:rRNA from 1 species
UACGUAGGAGACGAGCGUUGUCCGGAGUUACUGGGCGUAAAGGGUGCGCAGGUGGCGGCGCGCGGUGGGGGGUGAAAUCGCCCGGCUUAACUGGGCGGGGGCCUUCCAGACGGCGUGGCUUGAGCAGCGGAGGGGGACGUGGAAUUCCGGGUGGAGCGGUGAAAUGCGUAGAGAUCCGGAGGAACACCGACGGCGCAGGCAGCGUCCUGGGGAGUACCUGACGCGUCAGGUGCGGAAAGCCAGGGGAGCGAACGGG